CAAAACAUGUUUAUUUGAAGUUAUAAAUAAUUUGGCCUGCCCCCUGAUUUUAAAUUAAAGGGCCGCAGUAUUAUAACUGUGCAAAGGUAGCAUAAUCAUUAGGUUUUUAAUUAGAAUCUUGUAUGAAUGGUCGGACAAAAGAAAAGCUCUCUUUAUAUUAAGUUUUGAAUUUAACUUUUAAGUGAAAAGGCUUAAAUAAACUAAAGGGACGAUAAGACCCUAUAAAACUUUACAUUAUAAUUAUAUUUUAGUGAAUUUAAAAAUAAAAAUUUAGUUUAAUUAUUUGUUAAGCUGGGGAGGCACAAAUAUAUAUUAUUUAAACUGUUUGAUAUUUAUACAAUUAUUAGUGGGUAAUUAGAAGAUCCUUUAUAAAGAUUAAUAGAUUAAGUUACUUUAGGGAUAACAGCGUAAUUUCUUUUGAGAGUUCUUAUCGAAAAGGAAGAUUGCGACCUCGAUGUUGAAUUAAAAUAUUCUAUAUAAUGAAGAGGUUAUAUUAGAAGGUCUGUUCGACCUUUAAAAUUUUACAUGAUUUGAGUUCAAACCGGUGUGAGCCAGGUU
rnacentral:rRNA from 1 species